CAUUAGCAAACGAGUGAGCCAGAGAUGCUAGUGAAGAAGAAGGGAGAGACUGUGAAUUGAAACUAUGGAGGCUGGGACCCUCACAGAAGUCAUAAAGGAGGUUUAAUUUUGGAGAAUACAAGGAAGAGGCAAGGAGCAGUGCUCUGCUCAGACUCUUGAAGCCUAGUCUGGACUCCUCAACACAGACCUGCAGCUUAAUAAAGGAGGAUGGUACAGAUAGCGGUCCAAAAAAGAGCUCCUUCAACCACAGCUAUGCCAUCGCCCUCCAGUGUUUUCAGGAAGAGAGUGGCUUGUUUCAAUAUCAGUUUGAAGUAACCAUGGCAGAGGCACUGUUUCUGGCCCCAAAGGGCUGACAACGCUCUGGCUUCAGCUAAAGAGCUGACAAUCAUCCCUACCCCACCAUGCUGAACAUGCAACUUCAUGCCUGCAGGCUACAAGCUUUUUCAUCACAGAGCUUGAUUUCAGCAAGGAUCCAGGAGCUGCUCUAGGCUUUGGCAAAUGGUAUAAUAUUCCUUUUUUUCCACAUCAAAACAGCCUCUUGCCACAAA